AGAAUAAAAAAAUGUCCAACUUUUUUUAUUGUUGGAGGAGAGUGUGGGAAAUGGAGAUGGUUCAGGAAAUUGGAUGAAUAAAGCCCUCUCCUCACGCGAUGGUGACGUUGGUGAACCGGGAGCGGUAGCCGGAGAUCCCACUUGAGCAAGCACAGUUAUGUUAAGCUUCAUGUUCCGGGCUGCACAGUGGCCGGGUACACCACAGAUGUACCAUUUUCUUCCUGGAGUAGAAAGUGUGAUCACAUCGUUGCCAGUGGAGCGAACAGUGUUGUUACUUGAUGCUUGACAUUGUUGGAACUCAAUUCCACUAACACCAAUCACAUUGUGAACUCCUGCUCUGUAAUUGAACACUGCAUGAAGAAUUGUAAUUGUUUAGAUGUUUUCAUCACUUUAAAUGUAUAUAUAUGUAUGAUUUUUAGAUUAUAGAUAGAGAGAGAAGGUUGGUUUACCAAGCUUAUCUCCCACAUGAAA